rnacentral:rRNA from 1 species
AUUGAACGCUGGCGGCAGGCCUAACACAUGCAAGUCGAGCGGGGUUUUCGGACCUAGCGGCGGACGGGUGAGUAAUGCGUAGGAAGCUACCCGAUAGAGGGGGAUACCAGUUGGAAACGACUGUUAAUACCGCAUAAUGUCUACGGACCAAAGUGUGGGACCUUCGGGCCACAUGCUAUCGGAUGUGCCUACGUGGGAUUGGCUAGUUGGUGAGGUAAUGGCUCACCAAGGCGACGAUCCCUAGCUGGUUUGAGAGGAUGAUCAGCCACACUGGAACUGAGACACGGUCCAGACUCCUACGGGAGGCAGCAGUGGGGAAUAUUGGACAAUGGGCGCAAGCCUGAUCCAGCCACGCCGCGUGUGUGAAGAAGGCCUUCGGGUUGUAAAGCACUUUCAGUAAGGAGGAAGCGUUGAGUGUUAAUAGUACUCAGCGUUGACGUUACUUACAGAAGAAGCACCGGCUAACUCUGUGCCAGCAGCCGCCGUAAGAC